CUGUUGCCGUCGGUAACUGUGGUAUAUUGGGAUCAGCUCUGUGUUUUCUUUGCCAGUAUUAUAUUUUAACAUACAUUUUAGACGGAUUUAAUUACAGUGUUUCAUGAGUAAUUCUGCUAUGUUUUGUUUAUGUUUUUAACUGUCAUAAUUAUUAAUGUUUCCCACUGUAACUAUGAUUAAUUUGACGACUGCUAACUGUUGCUCAUUCGGAGCCGUUGCUUUGUAGUUUGUUUAGGGUUAUUUAUUGUAUCUUAAUUCACAUAGUGGCAGAAGCUGCUGGAUUGAUGUUAGCCACCUAUUUUGAUUUCCUGUUUUGUUAGAAUAAAUACAAUGAGCCUGACUAUUGUGAAGUCAACCUACAGGACCUGCGACAAACAUAGAAGUGUUGCACAUAAUCAGGAGAAGGAUUGAACAUCUAAGACCCAUAAUGUGCAGAACAACUGAGUUUGAGCCUAACCGAUGCUCUGGUGUCAACUGGGCUAUAAACCCCCGCAAGUCCCAAUCAGCCGUGGCAACCGGUCUAAAUUUGGCAAGAGGUCCUUAAAAACGAGGCGCCGCUCAGGAUCGGUGGGUUUCCCAACGUGCUAACGGUGCAUGUGACUGCAAAGAAAUGCCUGGCACCAAUAAUCCAGCUAAUCCUUCCCUGUGGUGCACCCAAUGCUUAAAUAAGACGUAGCUGUGAGAAAAAAAACAGAGAAAUGCAGGGAGAGGGAGGAAGAAUCCGUCCUGAUCCCUCGCUGCUUUCCACAUUAAAGGCAGGAAUUACUGUAAUUAGAGAGAUGAUAAUAUUUCUGCAUUAGCUGCUGUAAUGUGCCAUGUAUUUUGUGGUUGUUGCAUCAGUCGCCAAAUUCCCAUCCAGACUUUCUUGUUGGAUUUUUUUAAGCAGGCUGAUUUUGCAAAACAAAGCUGCUCCAAAUCUGACUGAAAAUGAGCAGAAAAAACCGAGCCUGAUGCUGGAAUAACAAAACGGCGUAAAAUCACUCAACAAUGCAAACAUCACUGAAAGGUAUUUAAACUUCUUGUCCAUUUAAACCA